rnacentral:rRNA from 1 species
GACGAACGCUGGCGGCGUGCUUAACACAUGCAAGUCGAACGGAAAGGCCCUGCUUUUGUGGGGUGCUCGAGUGGCGAACGGGUGAGUAACACGUGAGUAACCUGCCCUUGACUUUGGGAUAACUUCAGGAAACUGGGGCUAAUACCGGAUAGGAGCUCCUGCUGCAGGGUGGGGGUUGGAAAGUUUCGGCGGGUGGGGAUGGACUCGCGGCUUAUCAGCUUGUUGGUGGGGUAGUGGCUUACCAAGGCUUUGACGGGUAGCCGGCCUGAGAGGGUGACCGGCCACAUUGGGACUGAGAUACGGCCCAGACUCCUACGGGAGGCAGCAGUGGGGAAUAUUGCACAAUGGGCGGAAGCCUGAUGCAGCAACGCCGCGUGCGGGAUGACGGCCUUCGGGUUGUAAACCGCUUUCGCCUGUGACGAAGCGUGAGUGACGGUAAUGGGUAAAGAAGCACCGGCUAACUACGUG